CCUACGGGGGGCAGCAGUGGGGAAUAUUGGGCAAUGGAGGAAACUCUGACCCAGCAACGCCGCGUGAAUGAUGACGGUCUUCGGAUUGUAAAGUUCUUUUCUAAGGGAAGAAGAAAGUGACGGUACCUUAUGAAUAAGCCUCGGCUAACUACGUGCCAGCAGCCGCGGUAAUACGUAGGCGGCGAGCGUUAUCCGGAAUGACUGGGCGUAAAGGUUGCGUAGGUGGUUUGGCAAGUUAGUAGCGUAACUCCAAGGCUCAACCUUGGAACUACUACUAAAACUGUUGGACUUGAGUGCAGGAGCGGUAGGCGGAAUGCAUGGUGUAGCGGUGGAAUGCGUAGAUAUUAGGAAGAACACCAGUGGCGAAGGCGGGUUGCUAGACUGUAACUGACACUGAGGCACGAAAGCGUGGGGAGCAAACAGGAUUAGAUACCCUGGUAGUC
rnacentral:rRNA from 1 species